ensembl:lncRNA
GUGGAGGAAGACAGAAGGAUGGGAGGUGGAGGAAGACAGAAGGAUGGGGGAUGGAGGAAGACAGAAGGAUGGGGGAAGACAGAAGGAUGGGAGGUGGAGGAAGACAGAAGGAUGGAGGAAGACAGUAGGAUGGGGGAUGGAGGAAGACAGAAGGAUGGAGGAAGACAGAAGGAUGGGGGGUGGAGGAAGACAGUAGGAUGGAGGAAGACAGAAGGACGGAGGAUGGAGGAAGACAGAAGGAUGGAGGAAGACAGAAGGAUGGAGGAAGACAGAAGGAUGGGGGAUGGAGGAAGACAGAGGGAUGGAGGAAGACAGAAGGAUGGAGGAAGACAGAAGGAUGGAGGAAGACAGAAGGAUGGGGGGUGGAGGAAGACAGAAGGAUGGAGG